GGGCCUCUGCUAAUGGUGGAGAGAUCAAGGAAGAAAACAGCAAUGUUAAAGUGAGGCUGUACCCACAGAUCAUGCUCAAGCAAAUUCGAACCAUGAGCGCAUUUCUCUUAAACAAUGAACACUUAGAAUAAAAAUUAAAAUUUCCCACAAAUUUCUAUUUUUAAAAUAGUUUCCCAAGAUUUCAGUGGUAUUGUAUAUAUGCCCAUAUAAUUUUUUGGAUUACUAUUCCCACAAGUGUAAGAUGAAAGAGGACCUGCCCUCCAUUCUAUCUACUCCCUCUCUGCAAAGGCCAUUUUGAAGAUCUCAGUUUUACUGAAAGGGGUCUGCCACACAUAACUUCCCUGGUGUACCAGCAACAAGUGUUCAGUGGACCAUGGCAACACAAAGAAUGACGGAGGAGAGAAAAUGCUAUGCAGAAGUGAUAGUCAAGAUGAAGAUGUGGGAGAGGAGCAGCCCCCAGUAUAUAUUCAGUGUGUCCUCUGAAGUAACAACCAUCCCAUCUGGCUGAGAAGUGAUGGACACGGCUCCUUAACCACACUGUACCCUCUGUUCUUGGCACCUCUCUACCAGAAAGAUAUCGACAAAUUGGAUGGAAUUCAGAGAACAGUAAGAAAAAUGAUUAAAGAGAUGGAGGCAGUGACUUAUGAGGAAAGAUGAAAAGGACUAAAUCUGUAUAGCUUGGCAAAGCAACAACUGAGUGACUUCCUAUUAUCCUUCUCAAAGUUAUUGCUGCAGAGGAAAGAAGCAUACAUCUUUUACCCACCAGGAAACCCCCAAAGCACCUAUUACCAUAAUAGCCAUGGGAAACAGAAGGCACCUCAAAUAAAGGUGGGGAAAAGAAUGAAAGAAAUGGCUUUGGCCUGUGCCUGUUUGACCUCUGAGAGAUACUUUUUGCAAGAAAUUGUUAAGUUUUGGCCCAAAAAGUGGUCGGUCUUUUAUCCUUCCUUGUGGAGGCCAAAAUGCAAACCAGGAUGAAGAAACCAUCAGUGGCAGUUUGGGGAGGUGGAGGAGGGACUAACUAGACUCAGUGAAUCACCAAGGAAACAUGAGGCCU
rnacentral:antisense_RNA from 1 species